GAUCAACCUACCUUCAGGUGGGGGACAACCCGGGGAAACCUGGGCUAAUACCGCAUAAAGUUCAUUUUUCGCAUGAAAGCUGAACCAAAGGUGGCCUCUGCUUGCAAGCCAUCACCUGAAGAGGGGGUCGCGGCGUAUCAGCUUGUUGGUGAGGUAAUGGCUCACCAAGGCUACGACGCGUAGCGGGUCUGAGAGGACGACCCGUCACAUUGGGACUGAGAUACGGCCCAG
rnacentral:rRNA from 1 species